AUAAUUUAUGAGAUGUCAUAAAUCUCUCCAAAAUAGGAUGAGAUGAACACUUUUAACAAGAGAACAGGACUCUAUAUAAAUCGCUGUGGGCUCACCACCUCUAAGGAGGAGCACUGACUGAAGACAGGAAAUGAAACCAAUUUCUACAACAUAGGAAUGAUUUCGGCAUGUCUAGGAGAGUCAGAGAAAAGACGGGAGGGAAAUGGGGGAGAAAGAAAAACGUGAGAGAACCUUCUACUUCCUGAAAGGCACCAUGACUCUGGAAUGUUACCUGUAAUUAAGAAUGUCAGAAGAACCGAGCCUCCAUUCUAAAGUUUCUGUGGUGAAGUCAUCUGUAUUUCCUAGGUCAGUAAACCCAACAACAUAAUCUUGUGUUUUCCCAUCUUUUAGCAGUGCUAGUGUGGGAAUGACUUUGAUAUGCAGUCUCUCACAAAGGAAAGGUGCUUUUUCCACAUUCAGCUUCAAAAAUUUGGUCUCGAGGUGUUUCUUGGACAAUAUUGCCAGAUGUCUGUCUAGUAUUUUA
rnacentral:lncRNA from 10 species